GAUGAAGAACGUAGCGAAAUGCGAUACGUAAUGUGAAUUGCAGAAUUCAGUGAAUCAUCGAGUCUUUGAACGCACAUUGCGCCCCCUGGUAUUCCGGGGGGCAUGCGUGUCCGAGCGUCAUUGCUGCCCUCAAGCACGGCUUGUGUGUUGGGCCUCCGUCCUCCUCCCGGGGGACGGGCCCGAAAGGCAGCGGCGGCACCGCGUCCGGUCCUCGAGCGUAUGGGGCUUCGUCACCCGCUCUUGUAGGCCCGGCCGGCGCUUGCCGACACAUCAAUCUUUUUUCCAGGUUGACCUCGGAUCAGGUAGGGAUACCCGCUGAACUUAAGCAUAUCAAUAAGCGGAGGA
rnacentral:misc_RNA from 1 species